AGCUGCUGUGUCUGCCUUUUUUUUAUUUAUUUUUUACUUUUUAAUUGGAUGGUCUAUUGGGGUCUGGGCUUCUCUCAUUAGGCAAGAGCCCUGUAAACUUUAUAAAGUUGGCUGUCUUCAUUAUAUAGCCAAGUGUGAUGGGCAAUUUUUUUUUCUUUCAUAUAUUGAUGUUUAGACUAGAAACAAACUGCAUCGGAAGUUUAUAUUUGGAAAUUGAAUUUAGCAUGAUCCUUGAUCAUCCUUGAACACAAAUGAUGUGCUUCUGUUUGGUACAGGUGGGAAUUGAAGCAUGGA
rnacentral:misc_RNA from 1 species